AGCUUGAUCCUGCUCUCUGUAGCUAGGUGGAAUAUGGACUUAUUCCAGAAGCAAGGAGACUCUGGACUCUGGACCUUAAAGAAUGGAGAAGACAUUGGAUUUUGUCAAAAACGUUUUUACACCUUUGAGAUGUUGAGAUGGAUAAAAUGCAGAUGUCAGUGGAGAAAAUUUCUGUCUGGGAGAAGAGUCAGAGAGUGUGAAUGUGCCCACGUCUUCUCAGUUUCC